AAAGUCGUAACAAGGUUUCCGUAGGUGAACCUGCGGAAGGAUCAUUACCGAGUUCAGGAGGGCUUCAAAACCCCUUCUCCUCCCAUCCUUGUUUAUCUAUAAGCUGUAAAGCAGCUUCGGUGGGCCAUUUCUUCAGACUUGAGGAGAUACCGGCUACCCGCUGGCUUGUGCCUGCCGAAGUCACCAAUUCUGAUAAUUGUAAAGUCUGAGAAAAACGAUUUAAAUAAUCAAAACUUUCAACAACGGAUCUCUUGGUUCUG
rnacentral:misc_RNA from 1 species